GCUACAAUAGAUUGAUGGUAUUCUCUUCUAUCACAAACGAGCACAUUACCACCCAGGAAACACGCCUUUGGUCGGUUGGCUUAAAGUGUACAUGAUUCCUGAAAUAAUAGGCAUGGAUGUUCCCGACAAUUACUUGCAAAAUGUCCCCAAAGUUCAUAAAUUAACAUUGGAAAAAGAGAAUGAAAAGUUUCGGGAGAAAGGGAUGAAAGGAGGUGAGAUGGAAAUAGAUAAAGAAAGAAAAAAGCGAAGGCAAAAAAAUACGAAAAGCAGGGACAUGGUUGUAGAUGAAUCUGGCUCUACAGAAGGUGGUAAUGAAGAAGAGAUGGAAUAAAAGAAUUCUGUGAUAUGGUGUUUACUGCGGUAGGAUAAAUUUGUUACACUGUGAGUGUCAAGUCUAUUAUCCUCGGUCUCAUCAAAUAGCGAUUAUGAUUUCAUGUCCUGCACAUACUAAAUAUGCAAAUAAAGACAGGAAUAACAUUGACUAAACAACACUGAUCCCUAACCGCUACUAGAGUCUUUAAUUAAACAGGUUCAGGUAGGUUUAGUGGGUCAGGCAUUUUCAUCCAAGUUGGUAUGCGUGUUUAUGCGUGUCUGUCAGCAUGAUAUUUUAAAAAAUAUCAAACGUAUUAAUCAAAAUUUGUGUGACUAAUGGACAUUGCCCAAGGUCAAAUUGAUUAAAUUUUGGUCAAAUGUGGGGAAAAUUAGAUGAAAGAUUAGCAAACGUUCGUCUUGCUUUGCAGAGUGAACUGAAUGCAUAAUGGUAUAAUAUGAGUAUACAAUGGUAUAAUCUAUGCAUGCAGGGGCGUAGGAACUUGGGGGGCAGGAGGAGCCAGCCCCCUCCCCAAGUUUUGCCAAGUGCCAUUUUUCUGGGAGCAAAGUGCCCUUUUCUUGCGUGAAAAAUUGUCAUUAAGAUUGCAUUUUUUUUGCC